AGGACGAACGCUGGCGGCGUGCUUAACACAUGCAAGUCGAGCGGAAAGGCCCUUCGGGGUACUCGAGCGGCGAACGGGUGAGUAACACGUGAGCAACCUGCCCUUAGCUCCGGGAUAGCUCCGGGAAACCGGAAUUAAUACCGGAUACAACCACGGCCGACAUCUGCUGUGGUGGAAAGGAUUCCGGCUAAGGAUGGGCUCGCGGCCUAUCAGCUAGUUGGUGGAGUAACGGCCCACCAAGGCGACGACGGGUAGCCGGCCUGAGAGGGCGACCGGCCACACUGGGACUGAGACACGGCCCAGACUCCUACGGGAGGCAGCAGUGGGGAAUAUUGCGCAAUGGGCGAAAGCCUGACGCAGCGACGCCGCGUGGGGAUGAAGGCCUUCGGGUUGUAAACCCCUUUCAGCAGGGACGAAGCGAAAGUGACGGUACCUGCAGAAGAAGCGCCGGCUAACUACGUGCCAGCAGCCGC
rnacentral:rRNA from 1 species